rnacentral:rRNA from 1 species
GAGGGUGAUGCCUGCCCAAUGGUUGUAUCUAAAAGCGGUUGAUAAAAGUCGACCUCGUAAGGACAAUUGAAUGGCCGCGGUAACACUGACCGUGAUAAUGUAGCGUAAUCAAUAGCCAAUUAAUUGUUGGCCAGUAUGAAUGGCGCCACGAAGGCCCCACUGUCUUAAGGAAAUUCCCAGUGAAAUUGAAUUCGUAGUGAAGAUGCUACGUCCAAUUUGUUAGACGAAAAGACCCCGUUGAGCUUUACUGGGGCACUUACACGGCCCCGGCCUUCCCGUGUCCGGGAACCGGCCGAAUUUAAAUGGGUGGUUUAGACUAUGUGGCAGCCCCCCGCCGGGGCAGAUGAAACCCCACUCCCCCAUGUCAAAGGGGCUAACCCCCCCUUGGGGGGGAGAGUGUAAGUAGGACAGUUUGGUUGGGGCGACCGCCUUUUAAAGAGUAACGAAGGUGCGCUUAAGGUGCGCAAUUAAUGACUGAAGCCUGACUGCGAGGGGGACACCCCGAG